rnacentral:rRNA from 1 species
UCACACCGCCNGUCGCUACUACCGAUUGAAUGGCUCAGUGAGGCUUCCGGACUGGCUCGGGGAGGUCGGCAACGACCACCCUGGGCCGGAAAGCUAUCCAAACUCGGUCAUUUAGAGGAAGUAAAAGUCGUAACAAGGUCUCCGUUGGUGAACCAGCGGAGGGAUCAUUACUGUGGCCUGCGCUCCGCGCUCGCUCAACCCUCCUGUGGAAAUUUUAAAACGUUUGCCUCGGCGGGCCAGGCCCGCCGCCGGCACCAAAACAACUCUUGCACACUGAAUUCUGAGUGGGCGUAGACCUAAUAAGUCAAAACUUUCAGCAACGGAUCUCUUGGCUCUGGCAUCGAUGAAGAACGCAGCGAAAUGCGAUAAUUAGUGGGAAUUGCAGAACUCAGUGAAUCAUCGAAUCUUUGAACGCACAUUGCGCCCGCCGGCAUCCCGGCGGGCAUGCCUGUCCGAGCGUCAUAUCAACCCCUCGGGCCACCUGUCCACCAUCCGUGGACGGGGUCGGCCCGGCGUUGGGGCACCGCGGGCUGGUUUCCUCCAGCCCGCAGGGCCCCCAAAUCCAGCGGCGGACGCCUCCUGGCCACCCAGCGCAGUAUAAUCGCUAUCGCUGAGGUGCACGGGGGGCUGCCCUGCCUACCGCCUAGCGGCACACACAACGUUUGACCUCGGAUCAGGUAGGACUACCCGCUG